GAAGCGGCAACAGCUCAAAUUUGAAAUCUGGCGCAAGCCCGAGUUGUAAUUUGUAGAGGAUGCUUCUGGGUAGCGGCCGGUCUAAGUUCCUUGGAACAGGACGUCAUAGAGGGUGAGAAUCCCGUAUGUGACUGGCUUGCACCCUCCACGUAGCUCCUUCGACGAGUCGAGUUGUUUGGGAAUGCAGCUCUAAAUGGGAGGUAAAUUUCUUCUAAAGCUAAAUACCGGCCAGAGACCGAUAGCGCACAAGUAGAGUGAUCGAAAGAUGAAAAGCACUUUGGAAAGAGAGUUAAAAAGCACGUGAAAUUGUUGAAAGGGAAGCGCCCGCAACCAGACUUUGCGGCAGUGUUCGGCCGGUCUUCUGACCGGUUUACUCGCUGUCGUGAGGCCAUCAUCGUCUGGGACCGCUGGAUAAGACCUUAGGAAUGUAGCUCCCCUCGGGGAGUGUUAUAGCCUCUGGUGAUGCAGCGCGUCCCGGGCGAGGUCCGCGCUUCGGCAAGGAUGAUGGCGUAAUGGUUGUCGGCGGCCCGUCUUGAAACACGGACCAAGGAGUCUAACAUCUAUGCGAGUGUUCGGGUGUCAAACCCCUACGCGUAAUGAAAGUGAACGGAGGUGGGAACUUUUUGUGCACCAUCGACCGAUCCUGAUGUCCUCGGAUGGAUUUGAGUAAGAGCAUAGCUGUUGGGACCCGAAAGAUGGUGAACUAUGCCUGAAUAGGGUGAAGCCAGAGGAAACUCUGGUGGA
rnacentral:rRNA from 1 species